CGAGCACGCGCGUGUGGCAUAUCAAUAAGCGGAGGAAAAGAAACUAACAAGGAUUCCCUUAGUAACGGCGAGUGAAGCGGGAAGAGCUCAAAUUUGAAAUCUUCAAGGUUCUACCUUGACGAAUUGUAGUUUAUAGAAGUGUUUUCUGUUAGUGGAGUGGCAAAAGUUCUUUGGAAUAGGACAUCAUAGAGGGUGAGAAUCCCGUAUUUGGUCAUUCCUCCUAGCGUUGUGAUACACUUUCAACGAGUCGGAUUGUUUGGGAAUGCAGUCCAAAAUGGGUGGUAAAUUUCAUCUAAAGCUAAAUAUUGGCGAGAGACCGAUAGCGAACAAGUACCGUGAGGGAAAGAUGAAAAGAACUUUGAAAAGAGAGUUAAACAGUACGUGAAAUUGUCAAAAGGGAAGCGUUUGACACCAGUGUUGUUUUUCCGAAAAUCAAUUACGAAUGUUUUAUUUUUGAGGAGUUAUGACUUCAUCGGCUUGCUCCUUUCUUUAUCGAAACUUUCUUAAUGCACUUUUCGGUUAACAAGUCAACAUCAAUUUCUUUUGUUGUAAAAGGGUAUGAGGAAGGUGGCUUUCUUUUCGGAGAAAGUGUUUAUAGCCUUGUGCCUCUGCAAUCGGAGAGAUUGAGGUCUGCAGCGUAGAUCCUUCGGGGUUAGAUACAGUUUGUGCUAAGUUAUAGCUUUUCAUAGACAACUUGUUGACUAUGUUUAGUCUUGUAGCUUACUCGCAGUAUGCUAUUUUACCUACGCUUAGGAUGUUGAGCGCAUGUCUCUCUCU
rnacentral:rRNA from 1 species